UGCUGGGUGGCUCAGUUGGUAGAGCAUGUGCAGAAGUGAUAGUCCUUGAUGCGGUUGUCCUGGGUUUGAUUCCCAGUCUUGGGCAU